CUCAGCCGAGAGUUGACGGUCUGCAGCGCUUGGACACUAGCGUUUUUCAACAAUGGGACACAUUCAGAGGACGAAGAUUGCUCUGAAAUGUCUGCUUUGCAUUCCUGUCAUGCUCUGUGUUUUAUACUUAAUCUCUCCAUCUGUGAAACUGCUGAUAGGCCUCCUGCCGAUGGACAGAUGCUCUUUGGAAAGUGCCAAGAUGCUGUCUCUGGACUACAGCGUGGACGCCACCCUU